CAAGGACCUGGCCUCAGCAGGUACUGGUGUCCUUCUCAGACAGAGUAGGACGGAUGCGUGCGGACCCUUCCGUGUAACAUGACGGCUUCAGUGUCUGCAGAGGGCCCGCAGGCCGGGGGGUGAUCACGCACGGGACCACGAAGCCGCUCCCUGGAAGCUGCGGGGCCCACUGGAGAGCGGUCUCUUAGUGUGUGGCAGGGAAGAGCAGAAAGCAGAUUUUCUGGCUGAGAGAGACUCAUCACAACGCUCUUCUGUUCUCAGGUGUUCACAGUUAGGGGCGGGGGACCGAGGCACAGGUCAUUGCAGCCUUCAGCAGAGUGGCGAGUGCCGGUCGGGGUGGCAGUGUGCAGGGCUCUGAGGUGACAAGGCGCCCUGCCCCCGUGGCCUCCCCGUCAGGCAGUACCUGUGCUGUGCUGUGGGUGGAGCUGUGCGGAGGGACGGACCGUGAGCUGCGGUCCGGGAAUGCAGAGCGGGGCAGCCAGACAGUGACUCUCACCUCCCUCGUCCCGGGAGCGCUGUCUCUCAGCGGGCACGGCCCUGUUCCGCACCGUGCACGUGUGAGCGGGGGUGAUUCCUGACACGGAAGGAGUGGUCUUUUCACAUUUGUCUUGAGUUAGGGACUCAGUGAGGUGCUCAGGCUGGCCUGGGACCUGUGAUCCUCUUGCCUCAGCCUCUUGGAGUAGCUGGGAUUGUCUACGGGCCCUUGAUGAGUCUGAUGCCGCAGGUGACAAGGCCACAGGAGUGAGGAACCACGGUUACUUCCUGGGCACUGAAAGUGGCCUUCGUGUCACCGAGAGAGCGCUGGAGAGAUGACACCUCCAGCCAGGCUGCAGGCGGGAGCCCUGGCUGGGGCAAGGAGGAGGGACGUGCCCGCUUGCAGUGUAACCCUUAACUGGUGAGGACCCGAGACGGGGCUGCGUGCGGAUGCCGGGGUGGGUGUCGGCGUCCUGCCCUCUUGGCACUUGGGUUUGGUCCGGCACUGCGCCCGCUGCGGGCCUUCUGUCUGUCUGCUCGGCCUACUGAAGACGAGCGCUGACUGCCGGUCACCGUGAGGCUGCUGUGCUCAGCCUCCCUCCCUGGGUUCCGGACAAGUUAGGCAGGACCCCGCGUGGAAGGGAACUAGCUGCGUACACGGCAGCAGACACCAAGGGCACGCUUGUUUGUGCUGCCGAAGGUUGAAACCGAGUGCUGACCUGAGCUGGCUGUAAAGGUCACCUGGCAGCUGCAGCAGAGCUGGCUGGCUGUCACCGAAGGACAGAGCCAAAGAAAGCAGCCACUUCCUCCAGUGAGAGCCCUCGAGCGCCGCCCGCCCCUCCCCACCCGCUUUCCUUGACGAGGGUGUUAUAAUAGUCAUCCAAAGAACGAUAUACAAGCGAG